rnacentral:lncRNA from 1 species
GAGCGAGAGAGAGAGAGAGAGAGUUGGAUCAAGGGACAACCUCUGUACUGAAGAAGACAACGCGAGAGACUCCAUAGAAUGGGUGCUCCCUGUCAAGCCCAUGCUCUCCACCCAUGGCCUCUCAGCAGGCCCACCCCUCUCCCCCGUCUCAUAGACGGCCAACCGGCGUACACUGUGAGGAGUAUCCUGAAGGUUCGACCUCGGGGCAGGGGGUUCCAGAACCUGGUUAACUGGGAGGGUUAUGACCCAGAGGAGAGUUGCUGGGUCCCCGCCAAGGACAUCCUGGACCCAGGCCUCAUCGCGGAUUUCCAACACCAACAUCCCGGUCAACCAGGUAUGCGCCCCUGGGGGUGGGUACUGUCACACCCUGAUCUGUUUCACCUGUCUUUGUGAUUGUCUCCACCCCUCUCCAGGUGUCACCCAUCUUCCCCAUGAUCCCCUGUGUAUUUAUACCUGUGUUCUCUGUCUGAGCCUGCCUGCCGUCCUGUUCCUUUGCACCACCUUUUUGGAUUGCUGAUCUUUACCUGCCCUGACCGUGAGCCUGCAUGCUGUCCUGUACCUUUGCCCCACCUAUCUGGAUUACCGACCUCUGCCUGCCCUUGACCUGCUUUUUGCCUGCC